rnacentral:sRNA from 2 species
ACUCAACAGAGAUUCUUUUGAGAAGGAUGAGUUAAAGUUGUAAAAGCGCGCCGUCUUCGAGCGGAUUCUUGAUCAGCUUAUUAGUCCUAAACUUUUUUUUAAGGGAGUUU